CUGAAAAAGAGUCAGGAGAAGUCCAUCAGCCUGCAGCUCGUGCAGGAAGUACCGGUGCAGAACCUGAAACCAGCUGUAGUGACCGUCUAUGACUACUACAAGAUCAGUGAAUUUUCUGUGGUUGACUACACUUCCCCAUGUGCAUAAACAAUACUGCAUUGAUAUGAAGUGCUAAUGGCUGAACUAUUGUACACUGGAAUAUAUGGCAACACUUUUUCUGUUUUUCUGUCACUUUCUUGUAACAAUAAUUUCUGCAUUCUAGAUGCUAUUAAACAAUUUGUCAAGUAAUGC